UAAGUACUCCCUCCGUCCCAAAAUUCUUGUCUUAGAUUUGUCUAAAUAUGGAUGUAUCAAGUCACGUUUUAGUAUUAGGUACAUCCGUAUCUAGACAAAUCUAAGACAAGAAUUUUGGGACGGAGGGAGUAGCAA
rnacentral:pre_miRNA from 1 species